GUCUCUCUGUCUUCCUGUUCCAAACCACGUGGACACGCCGGGGGCGGUGGGGCUGCGGGAGGCAGCCAGGGCCGCCACCGUGGUAGUAUUUCUUGCCGCUUGUGUUGCACCUCCGCGCCUGUCUGAAGUCGCCGCUUCCGGAGUGCCCGCGCCUCUGCAGAGGGCGCGCACAUGGCGACCCAGGCGCAGUGUCUCAGCUACGCGGGGUGCAACUUCUUGCGCCAGCGUCUGGUCUUGUCUACCCUGAGCGGGCGCCCCGUCAAAAUCCGAAAGAUACGGGCCAGAGACGACAACCCGGGCCUCCGAGAUUUUGAAGCCAGCUUCAUAAGGCUAUUGGACAAAAUAACUAAUGGUUCUCGAAUUGAAAUAAAUCAAACAGGAACAACUUUAUAUUAUCAGCCUGGCCUCCUGUAUGGUGGAUUUGUGGAACAUGACUGUAGUGUCCUUCGCAGCAUUGGGUAUUAUCUAGAGAGUCUUCUUUGCCUGGCUCCAUUUAUGAAGCACCCAUUAAAAGUAGUUCUGCGAGGAGUGACCAAUGACCAAGUUGAUCCUUCGGUUGAUCUUCUAAAGGCAACAGCACUUCCUCUGUUGAAACAGUUUGGGAUUGAUGGUGAAUUGUUCGAGCUAAAGAUUAUACGACGGGGAAUGCCUCCUGGAGGAGGAGGUGAAGUGAUUUUUUCCUGUCCUGUACGGAAGGUCCUGAAGCCCGUACAGCUCACAGAUCCAGGAAAAAUCAAACGUAUCAGAGGAAUGGCGUACUCUGUGCGUGUAUCACCUCAGAUGGCGAACCGAAUUGUGGACUCUGCAAGGAGCCUCCUCAACAAGUUCAUACCUGACAUCUAUAUUUACACAGACCACAUGAAGGGCGUCAACUCUGGGAAGUCUCCAGGCUUUGGGUUGUCCCUGGUUGCUGAGACCACCAAUGGCACUUUCCUCAGUGCUGAGCUGGCCUCCAACCCACAGGGCCAGGGAACAGCAGUGCUUCCAGAGGACCUUGGCAGGAACUGUGCCAGGCUGCUGCUGGAGGAAAUCUACAGGGGUGGCUGUGUGGGCUCAACCAACCAAAGCCUGGCUCUACUGCUCAUGACCCUUGGACAGCAGGACGUUUCCAAAGUCCUGCUAGGACCACUCUCUCCCUACACCUGUGAUAAAUGACCUUUUCCCAUCACCUGUGGAAUGCUGAGGAGCUAGAACCUGUUGUUCUCUUUACACAUCCACUGAUCAGGGCUUCUUGGCUUCCCCAGUCUGGAACAGCCAUAUGAAAUGAAAUGAGAUAAUGCAUGGGAAAACUGGGAGCUGCGGGCCACACCUGCCGCUCUUUGGAAUCGGCUUCACUGCACUCUGAAUUCUUGUACUACCACUGUGCCUUACAUUUACAAAGAGUUUUUAAAUGCUAGAAAGCCCCAUCACUUUAGUUGUUUGAGCCCCAGAGCAUAUUUGGCAAAUAUUAAUAGUAAAAGCAAGGGAUAUCCUUACUUUUCAGAUGAAAAAAUAGGUCAAUGACCUGCUUAUGGUGAGUUCCUGUCCAAAUGAGGCCUGGGACCCUUAUCUCUUUUUUUGUAGAGACAGAGUCUCACUUUAUCGCCCUCAGUAGAGAGCUGUGGCGUCACACAGCUCACAGCAACCUCCAAAUCCUUGGGCUUAGGCGAUUCUCUUGACUCAGCCUCCCAAGUAGCUGGGACUACAGGCGCCCACCACAACACCCGGCUAGGGACCCUCAUCUCUUAACAGUGCAGCUAGCCUGGUUCUAUUUCUUUUGCUACCUCUGUAAGAGAUUAUUAUUAUUUUUUUUAAGUUUAUAAAAAAAAAAAAUUGAAACAGAGUCUCAUUCUGGUAGAGCGCUGUGGCAUUAUAGCUCACUUCAAACUCUUGGGCUGAAGUGAUCUUCUUGCCUCAGCCUCCCUGGUCCUGGUGGCUGGGGCUACUGAUGCCUGCCACAAUGCCCAGUUAGUUUUUUUUUUAGUAGAGACAUGGUCUUGCUCUUGCUCAGGUUGAUCUCUAAACUCAUGAUCUCAAGUGAUCCACCCGCAUUGGCCUCCCAGAACGCUAGGAUUAUAGGCAUGAGCCACUGUGCCUGGCCCCUAUACAACGGAAUUUAAUAAUGUGAUUCUUAGAGCAGAGGUCAGGUGGUGUUUGGUAAAGCUGGUAUUUGGCAGAAAAAGCACUACCAGUGUAUUUGCAAGGUGCUAUGUAGUGACCAACUACAGGGGACAACAUUGAGCAGAUCUUUUUUUACCCCUAGCUCUUUCCCAUCAUCUUCCAGAGCAUCUCUCUACACCUGAGAUGUAGGUAACCCUCACUCUGUCCCAUAUCCUAGUGGCAUGGAAACCAGGUGGCUUGGAGUGGGAGGCAGGACCUUCUCUUGUGGUUUCUGUCUAUGGGAGCUGCCAAAGCAAGGACACACCUAACUUUGUACCAUGCUCUCACCUCACUUUGUACCAUGCUUCAGAAGGGGGACUGCAUGAGAGGGGCUGUGUUUAAACGGGUGGUCUGGCAGCCUGUCAGAUUUGAGGCCAUUGGGAUUCAGUGAGCAGAUGGCCUUUACCUGUUGACCAACAGUGGCACUGGGAACAACCCACUUUUUGAAAAUACCCAAGAAAAGUUUUCUCUGUGCUCCAGAAUUCUCUGAAAACUGCUUGUCAGAUGGACGAGGGACUUUCAUAGAAAAGUUGAGGCUCGGCGCCUGUGGCUCAAGCUGCUAAGGCGCCAGCCACAUACACCUGAGCUGGCGGGUUCGAAUCCAGCCCGGCCCGCCAAACAAUGAUGGCUGCAACCAAAAAAUAGCCGGGCGUUGUGGCAGGCGCCUGUAGUCCCAGCUACUUGGGAGGUGGAGACAGGAGACUCGCUUGAGCCCAGGAGUUUGAGGUUGCUGUGAGCUAUGAUGCCACGGCCCUCUACCCAGGGCAACAGCUUGAGGCUCUGUCUCAAAAAAAAAAAGUUGAUUAUUUUUUUGUUUCCUGAAAAUAAAUCACUUUGUCCAAAAAACAAAAGGGGAAAGUUGCUCACUGAAGAUACAGUUCUGUAAGUCAGGAGUAUAAGCCCUUCACGUAGGAGUUGCACAGAGCCCCAGUUGCCUAAAAUCCUUCAUCUGAAAAGCUACUGCUUGCACAGUGUGGUGGUCAUUCACUGAAGGACAGAGUUCUCUCAGUCAGCGGUGGGUCUCUCUUUGUCUUGGCUGUGUGGCUGUCUGGUUAUAUCUGGGAAGUGUGGCUCUAUAGCAGUGUUUUUCAACCAUUUUUUAAUCUCAUGGCACACUUGAACCUAUAGUGAAACUUCCACAGCACAUAUAAAUUAUGUUGAUUAAAUAAAAAGAUUAAAAAGCAGAAUAUACUUAGAGUGCUUUGAACUUCUUCUGGAAAUAAUUUAAUUAAUGAUCUUUUAAAAAUUUUUGUGGUACACCUGAGAUCCUCUGCUCUACAGUAUAGUGCCGUGGCAGAGAAGGGUAGGGAAGUGUUGCGAACUGGGGAGGUGGUGCCUUGCUGGGGCUGUAGCCAUCCAGAGCUAGGGGCUGCAUAGAAGGAUGUGGAUCAGUACCGCUGGGCCUUUUUUCAAAUGCAUGUGGAUGCAGGAUAUUCUUCAUUUGGCUUUUAUUUUUUUAUAAUUUUUUUUUUUUUCUAAAAAAGAAACAGUGUUGAGACUUCUUCCAGUUUUCCAAGGAGCUUUUCCAGUUCUAGGACGCCACACGAGUGGACGUGAGCAGUGGAGCCCCCACUCAGAGUAUUGUGGUUGUGUGCUUCUUCCUGGCUUUUAUUUUUUUUAUGGAACCUGUUUGUUAGAAUUUAAUAUCACCUAUGGUUAUUGCUUUUUUUUUUUUUUAAACAUGAACAUGCUAUUCCAGGGCUUUUGCUUUUUAAUAUCCUAGCUGUGGGAGACAUAGGGAUAAUGGGGCUGAUGGUGGGGGAAGGACAUUCUGUACCUUUAUCCAGUCUCAAAUACAGUCUUCCUCAGACAGGCUGAAGGAUUGGCAAGACAUAAUGUAAAAAGUGGAACUAACUUUAAUUUUUCUAACUGUUCCAAAGGCUACAAAUGCCCCCAAACUGCAAGUAUGUAGGCCUGCAGACACUCAAUCCUGUGUUCCUCUCAUCCUUUUUCAGGAGAUCAGAAGCAAGCUGAGGCCCCAUAGGAAUUCUGCCAGCUGGGGAAGGUGUCUGGGUUUUCAAGCACAGUUGGGUGAUUCAGAGUGAAGUAGGCAGAGAGAGACCUUAGGAGCAGAGGGUGUUCCAGGCCUGUAUUAGUCUGAGGCAGAAGCAAAGGGAGGCCAAGCUGUUACUGCAGGAUAGAAUUUUUGCGGCAUUUGAAGACCUUUUUCCAGAUUAUGUUUAAAAUUGAAACUAAGCCAUGUGGUGAAGAACUCAAGGGCGGGGAUAAAGUACUGAUGACCUGUGUUGGCACUGGCUUCUCCAACCUUAGCA